GACCGAUAGUGAACCAGUACCGUGAGGGAAAGGCGAAAAGAACCCCGGCGAGGGGAGUGAAAAAGAACCUGAAACCGUGUACGUACAAGCAGUGGGAGCACGCUUAGGCGUGUGACUGCGUACCUUUUGUAUAAUGGGUCAGCGACUUAUAUUCUGUAGCAAGGUUAACCGAAUAGGGGAGCCGAAGGGAAACCGAGUCUUAACUGGGCGUUAAGUUGCAGGGUAUAGACCCGAAACCCGGUGAUCUAGCCAUGGGCAGGUUGAAGGUUGGGUAACACUAACUGGAGGACCGAACCGACUAAUGUUGAAAAAUUAGCGGAUGACUUGUGGCUGGGGGUGAAAGGCCAAUCAAACCGGGAGAUAGCUGGUUCUCCCCGAAAGCUAUUUAGGUAGCGCCUCGUGAACUCAUCUCCGGGGGUAGAGCACUGUUUCGGCAAGGGGGUCAUCCCGACUUACCAACCCGAUGCAAACUGCGAAUACCGGAGAAUGUUAUCACGGGAGACACACGGCGGGUGCUAACGUCCGUCGUGAAGAGGGAAACAACCCAGACCGCCAGCUAAGGUCCCAAAGUCAUGGUUAAGUGGGAAACGAUGUGGGAAGGCCCAGACAGCCAGGAUGUUGGCUUAGAAGCAGCCAUCAUUUAAAGAAAGCGUAAUAGCUCACUGGUCGAGUCGGCCUGCGCGGAAGAUGUAACGGGGCUAAACCAUGCACCGAAGCUGCGGCAGCGACGCU
rnacentral:rRNA from 1 species